UGUACAACUAACCGUGUGACGAAGG
rnacentral:piRNA from 1 species